rnacentral:tRNA from 1 species
GGGAAUAUAAUUCAGUUGGUAGAAUGCUCGACCGAUAAUCGAGUCGCCGCUGGUUCGAGUCCAGCUAUUCCCACGA